rnacentral:rRNA from 1 species
UGCAAGUCGAGCGGUAGCACAGAGAGCUUGCUCUCGGGUGACGAGCGGCGGACGGGUGAGUAAUGUCUGGGAAACUGCCUGAUGGAGGGGGAUAACUACUGGAAACGGUAGCUAAUACCGCAUAACGUCGCAAGACCAAAGAGGGGGACCUUCGGGCCUCUUGCCAUCAGAUGUGCCCAGAUGGGAUUAGCUAGUAGGUGGGGUAACGGCUCACCUAGGCGACGAUCCCUAGCUGGUCUGAGAGGAUGACCAGCCACACUGGAACUGAGACACGGUCCAGACUCCUACGGGAGGCAGCAGUGGGGAAUAUUGCACAAUGGGCGCAAGCCUGAUGCAGCCAUGCCGCGUGUAUGAAGAAGGCCUUCGGGUUGUAAAGUACUUUCAGCGAGGAGGAAGGCAUUGUGGUUAAUAACCACNGUGAUUGACGUUACUCGCAGAAGAAGCACCGGCUAACUCCGUGCCAGCAGCCGCGGUAAUACGGAGGGUGCAAGCGUUAAUCGGAAUUACUGGGCGUAAAGCGCACGCAGGCGGUCUGUCAAGUCGGAUGUGAAAUCCCCGGGCUCAACCUGGGAACUGCAUUCGAAACUGGCAGGCUAGAGUCUUGUAGAGGGGGGUAGAAUUCCAGGUGUAGCGGUGAAAUGCGUAGAGAUCUGGAGGAAUACCGGUGGCGAAGGCGGCCCCCUGGACAAAGACUGACGCUCAGGUGCGAAAGCGUGGGGAGCAAACAGGAUUAGAUACCCUGGUAGUCCACGCCGUAAACGAUGUCGACUUGGAGGUUGUUCCCUUGAGGAGUGGCUUCCGGAGCUAACGCGUUAAGUCGACCGCCUGGGGAGUACGGCCGCAAGGUUAAAACUCAAAUGAAUUGACGGGGGCCCGCACAAGCGGUGGAGCAUGUGGUUUAAUUCGAUGCAACGCGAAGAACCUUACCUACUCUUGACAUCCAGAGAACUUAGCAGAGAUGCUUUGGUGCCUUCGGGAACUCUGAGACAGGUGCUGCAUGGCUGUCGUCAGCUCGUGUUGUGAAAUGUUGGGUUAAGUCCCGCAACGAGCGCAACCCUUAUCCUUUGUUGCCAGCGGGUCCGGCCGGGGAACUCAAAGGNAAACUGCCAGUGANUAAACUGGAAGAAAGGGGGGGAUGACGUCAAGUCAUCAUGGCCCUUACGAGUAGGGCUACACACGUGCUACAAUGGCGUAUACAAAGAGAAGCGACCUCGCGAGAGCAAGCGGACCUCAUAAAGUACGUCGUAGUCCGGAUUGGAGUCUGCAACUCGACUCCAUGAAGUCGGAAUCGCUAGUAAUCGUAGAUCAGAAUGCUACGGUGAAUACGUUCCCGGGCCUUGUACACACCGCCCGUCACACCAUGGGAGUGGGUUGCAAAAGAAGUAGGUAGCUUAACCUUCGGGAGG